rnacentral:rRNA from 1 species
AAUUCGAUGCAACGCGAAGAACCUUACCAAGGCUUGACAUAUACGAGAACGCUGCAGAAAUCGUAGAACUCUUUGGACACUCGGUAAACAGGUGGUGCAUGGUUGUCGUCAGCUCGUGUCGUGAGAUGUUGGGUUAAGUCCCGCAACGAGCCGCAACCCUCGUUCUAUGUUGCCAGCACGUAAUGGUGGGAACUCAUGGGAUACUGCCGGGGUCAAACUCGGAGGAAGGUGGGGAUGACGUCAAAUCAUCAUGCCCCUUAUGUCUUGGGCUUCACGCAUGCUACAAUGGCCGGUACAAAGGGCUGCAAUACCGUAAGGUGGAGCGAAUCCCAAAAAGCCGGUCCCAGUUCGGAUUGAGGUCUGCAACUCGACCUCAUGAAGUCGGAGUCGCUAGUAAUCGCAGAUCAGCAACGCUGCGGUGAAUACGUUCCCGGGUCUU